rnacentral:rRNA from 1 species
GCCAGACUCCUACGGGAGGCAGCAGUGAGGAAUAUUGGUCAAUGGUCGGGAGACUGAACCAGCCAAGCCGCGUGAGGGAUGAAGGUACAGAGUAUCGUAAACCUCUUUUGUCAGGGAACAAAGGCGGGGACGUGUCCCCGGAUGAGUGUACCUGAAGAAAAAGCAUCGGCUAACUCCGUGCCAGCAGCCGCGGUAAUACGGAGGAUGCGAGCGUUAUCCGGAUUUAUUGGGUUUAAAGGGUGCGUAGGCGGAUUUGUAAGUCAGCGGUAAAAAUGCGGUGCUCAACGCCGUAUCGCCGUUGAAACUGCAGGUCUUGAGUGAGCGAGAAGUAUGCGGAAUGCGUGGUGUAGCGGUGAAAUGCAUAGAUAUCACGCAGAACUCCGAUUGCGAAGGCAGCAUACCGGCGCUCAACUGACGCUGAGGCACGAAAGCGUGGGGAUCGAACAGGAUUAGAUACCCGGGUA